UACGUAGGGCGCAAGCGUUAUCCGGAAUUAUUGGGCGUAAAGAGCUCGUAGGCGGUUUGUCGCGUCUGCCGUGAAAAUCCGGGGCUCAACCCCCAGCCUGCAGUGGGUACGGGCAGACUAGAGUGCGGUAGGGGAGAUUGGAAUUCCUGGUGUAGCGGUGGAAUGCGCAGAUAUCAGGAGGAACACCGAUGGCGAAGGCAGAAGUC
rnacentral:rRNA from 1 species